rnacentral:rRNA from 1 species
UACGUAGGGCGCGAGCGUUAUCCGGAAUUAUUGGGCGUAAAAGAGCUCGUAGGCGGUUUUGUCGCGUCUGCUGUGAAAAACCGGAGGCUCAACCUCCGGCCUGCAGUGGGUACGGGCAAAACUAGAGUGCGGUAGGGGGAGAUUGGAAUUCCUGGUGUAGCGGUGGAAUGCGCAGAUAUCAGGAGGAACACCGAUGGCGAAGGCAGAAUCUCUGGGCCGUAACUGACGCUGAGGAGCGAAAGCGUGGGGGAGCGAAACAGG